AUGCUCAAGCUCGCCGAGGUCACCGCUCGUUCCAGCAAGGCAUGUGCGCUCAUACUCAACACCGCCGCGCUGGAGCAACCAGCGCUCGCUCACAUUGUGUCACGCACAAGCGAUGUCUUCGCCAUAGGCCCACUGCACGCCAGGUCGAGGUUCGCCGCAAGCGCAAGCCUGUGGCAGGAGGACGACGGGUGCAUGGCGUGGCUGGAUGGCCACGAGGACCGGUCCGUCGUGUACGUGAGCCUGGGGAGCCGCGCGGUGAUCACACACGAGCAGUUCACCGAGUUCCUCUCCGGCCUGGUAGCUACUGGGUACGCCUUCCUCUGGGCGCUCCGGCCGGACAUGGUCCAGACGACCAGCUCCACGCUCCUCCGAGAAGCCAUCGGGGCAGUGGAGGGCGGCAAGGCACGCGUUGUCGAGUGGGCUCCUCAGCGGGACGUGCUGCGGCACCGGGCGGUGGGCUGCUUCCUGACACACGCCGGAUGGAACUCGACGCUGGAGUGCGCCAUGGAAGGCGUGCCGAUGGUGUGCUGGCCCUUCUUCUCCGACCAGCGGAUCAACAGCCGCUUCGUGGGCGCCGUGUGGAGGACGGGGCUGGACAUGAAGGACGUCUGCGACAGAAGCGUCGUUGAGAGGACGGUGAGGGAGGCCAUGGUGUCCGACGAGAUCAGGGGGGUGGCCCAAGCUAUGGCGCAGCAGUUGAGGCUGGAUGUCGCGGAGGUUAACUGA
rnacentral:rRNA from 1 species